UGCGCAUGUGCGCGGUGUGGCUCCAGGGAACGUAGGUCCCGCGCCUGUGAUAAGUAAGGUUGGAUUUUCUCUUCCCUGAGGUGAAGGAUGCCCGGAGGCCUCGGCAGGACCGUGCGGAAACGGGCCUUCUGCCCAAAAGAUGCUGCUUCUCUCCUUAUUCUUUCCCCUCAGAAUCUCGCUGUCUCCUUCCAACCACCUGUGGUCGGCAUCCCCGCGUUGUCACUGCGACGCAGAGGCGAGCGAGGUGGCGGGAAGCACCCGCGGGGCGGGGAGGGACCCUGCGGGCGCGGACUCCACACCAAGCCUCUGCUCAGCGUCACCCCGCUUGCUGUGUCCUCGCAGGUCGCAGCUUCAUGGCCUGAUGCCUUCAGGAAGUAUUUUGAAGUCAUCGUGGCUGUGGAUUGGGGGAUUUCUUGUUUCCACUGACCUGUGAGGCCGCGCACGUGGAGGGAGGCACCCCGGGUCCUCCGGCACUGUCCGGCCUCGCCUGUGUCCCUAGUAGCAGUGGGCAUUUCCAGACGGUGCAGCUUGUGGCUAAAGUGACAGGAAGAUGUAGGAGCUUUCAGUCUUGGAUGAGGAUUCGAACUGAAGGGCUUAGGCCCAGCUGUCUUGGAGCAAAACAUCUGUUGUGGGAUGUGGCGGCAGAGGAGGGCAAGGCCGAAGGAGCAGACAGCACCGCUUCUUGGGGAGUUGUGAAGGCAUCAUGCGGAGGGCCGAGCUUAGCAGCCAAGUGGAGGACAGCACCCUCCAUGCCUGGAUUCGUUACUCGCUCGUUCUCGAUGUUGAGCUGCUGGCAUAUUGCAGCACAACUAGAGAUGUACGGAUGCCCCCAUCUUGAUCUUACAGAAUCAGAGGUGCAGCCGCAAGAAAGGUCUCUACACCCUCUCGGUUUUCUCUGCUCUGCCAACACUAGUGGAAUAUGAUCACAUCCCAGGGAUCAGUGUCAUUUAGGGAUGUGACUAUGGGCUUCACUCAAGAGGAGUGGCAUCAUCUGGACCCUGCUCAGAGGACCCUGUAGAGGAAUGUGAUGCUGGAGAACUACAGCCACCUUGUCUCAGUAGGGUAUUGCAUUCCUAAACCAGAAGUGAUCCUCAAAUUGGAGACAGGCAAGGAGCCAUGGAUAUUAGAGGAAAAAUUUCGAAGCCAGAGUCAUCUGGGUGAGUUAGUGCCAGAUGGAAUUUAAAGAAUUAAUUAAUACCAGUAGAAACUAUUCAAGAAUGAAGUUCAAUGAGUUUAACAAAGGUGGAAAAUGUUUCUGUGAUGAAAGCAUGAAAUAAUUCAUUUUGAAGAGGAACCUUCUGAAUAUAAUAACAAUGGGAACAGCUUCUGGCUGAAUGAAGACCUCAUUUGGCAUCAGAAGAUUAAAAAUUGGGAGCAACCUUUUGAAUACAAUGAAUGUGGGAAAGCUUUCCCUGAGAAUUCACUCUUCCUUGUACAUAAGAGAGCUUACACAGGACAGAAAACAUGCAAAUAUACUGAACAUGGGAAAACCUGUUAUAUGUCAUUUUUUAUUACUCAUCAGCAAACACAUCCAAGAGAGAACCACUAUGAAUGUAAUGAAUGUGGAGAAAGUAUCUUUGAGGAAUCCAUUCUCUUUGAACAUCAGAAUGUUUACCCAUUCAGCCAGAAUUUAAAUCCCACUCUAAUUCAGAGAACCCACUCAAUUAGCAAUAUUAUUGAAUAUAAUGAAUGUGGAACCUUUUUCAGUGAAAAAUUAGCCCUUCAUUUACAACAGAGAACACAUCCAGGGGAAAAACCUUAUGAAUGUCAUGAAUGUGGAAAAACCUUCACCCAGAAGUCAGCCCACACAAGACAUCAGAGAACACACACAGGGAAAACCCUAUGAAUGUCACGGAUGUGGGAAGACCUUCUAUAAGAAUUCAGACCUCAUUAGAAAUCAAAGAAUUCACACAGGGGAGAGACCUUACAGAUGUCAUGAAUGGAGAAAUCCUUCAGUGAAAAGUCAUCCCUUACUCAAAAUCAGAGAACACACGUGGGGAGAAAUCAUGAAUGUCAUGAAUGUGGGAAAACCUCGUUUAAGUCAGUUCUAACUGUGCAUCAGAAAACACACAGGGGAGAAGCCCUAUGAAUGCUAUGCAUGUGGCAACACCUUUCUCAGAAAAUCCGACCUCAUUAAACAUCAGAGAAUUCACACAGGAGAAAAACCUUAUGAAUGUAAUGAAUGUGGGAAGUCAUUCUCCGAGAAGUCAACCCUUACUAAACAUCUAAGAACACACAGAUGGGAAAUCUUAUGCAUGUAUUCAAUGUGGAAAAUUUUUCUGCUGCUACUACAGUUUCACAGAACAUCUGAGAAGACACACAGGGGAGAAACCUUUUGGAUGUAAUGAAUGUGGGAAAACCUUCCAUCAGAAGUUGGCCCUAAUUGUUCACCAGAGAACUCAUAUAAGACAGAAACCCUAUGGAUGUAAUGAAUGUGGAAAAUCAUUCUGUGUGAAGUCAAAACUCAUUGCACAUCAUAGAACAUACACAGGGGAGAAACCCUAUGAAUGUAA
ensembl:lncRNA ZNF37BP zinc finger protein 37B, pseudogene